rnacentral:lncRNA from 1 species
CAGGAUAUACGAGUUCCCAAGAUCAACGUGAUCUCAGUACGUCUCGGUGAGCUUACACCAGCUCACAAGGGUAAUAUCCUUGAUGCAGAGAACAAGAAAGAUCACUUACCAAGCUCACGUCACUCACCGUUACAGAGAUUUAACCCAAAGAAGAAAACCAAAGAUGAACAAGCUUUUAUGAAAAAACAAGUCACACUCUCACGUAGCUUUUCUCUCACCCUCUCUCUAUCUUCUUUUCUCUGUGUAUUUGUGAAUUGUGUAGACCUCUUACUUGAUCCCUCUCUCACUGAUGAUUAUAUAUUCUGCAUCAAUACCCUUCUUCUUCCAGCUCCUGCUUUUUUACUUGUCAUUGAUUGACACCUACCAAUGACUCAGUUUCUCUGUUUCUUGGAAGCUAAAAACAGGACACAUUGUCGUUACUUCUUUGCAGGGUUUCCUCUGUCACAGACUUCUUGGGCUUGCUGUAACCACUAAGCCCACUGCAGAAGAAUAGCCCACCUAUCUGAGCCCAAUCACAACAACGACAAUCUCCAUCUUGAUUGGUUCAGAUAGAACUCCCGAGAGAUUCACCUCCCUCGAUGCCUCUCCAACUUGACCACCGGAGACUUAGCUCAUCUUAGAGCUAAAUUCAGUGCCUAAGCACCUUCAGGUAAUCCAAUCCCUCUUCAAAUUUCUUCACCGGUACUGGUUUUGUAAGUAAAUCAGCCGGAUUUACCUUGGUGUUGAUCUUCGAAAUUUUCAGGGAUCCAUCAGCCACUACAUCACGAAUGAAAUGAUAUCGAACAUCGAUAUGUUUCGUCCUUUCGUGAUGAACACUAUUUUUGGCUAAGCAAAUAGCGCUCUGGGAAUCACAAAAGAUUUCAACUUGCUCCUGUAGAAAACCCAAUUCACCAGCAAUUCCUUUCAACCAAAGAGCUUCCUUGGCUGCUUCAACCAAAGCCAUGUACUCAGCUUCUGUUGUUGAUAAAGCGACAAUGUGUUGGAGUCCAGAACGCCAACUGAUUGUAUUCCCACCGGCUUGGAAGACAUAACCGGUAAUUGACCUUCUUCUAUCUAAAUCUGCAGCAUAGUCACUAUCACAAUAGCCUCUGACUGCAAACUUAUCAGGCUUAGUGAAUGUUAGCUUGAAAUCUGUUGUAUCCCUUAUGUAUCUCAACACCCAUUUAACUGCCAUCCAAUGUUCUUUGCAAGGUGAGCUCAUGAAUCUGCUAACCAGUCCCACAGCAUGAGCAAUAUCAGGUCUUGUGCCAACCAUGGAGUACAUGAGACUCCCAACAGCACUAGAAUAAGGUAUGUCACUCAUCUCAAUCUCUGUAUCAGACUUAUCCUCUGUCUUAGUACUAGACAAUUUGAAAUGAGUUCCCAUAGGAGUCUGAACUGGUCUAGCUUCUAACAUACCAUAAUUCUUAAGAACUCUUUCAAGAUAAUCUUGCUGAGAUACUUGAAGAAUACCUUUCUUUCUAUCUCUGAAAAUAUCAAUACCAAGUAUUCUUCUAGCUGCUCCGAGAUCUUUCAUCUCAAACUCUUUGCUUAAAAUGUCUUUCAGUCUUGUGAUCUCCUUUAUGUCUCUAGCUGCUACUAACAUAUCAUCAACAUAUAGCAGUAGAUAAACAUAAUUAUUAUCACCAAGACACUUGAAAUAUAAACAAGAGUCGUAUUGGCUUCUUGUAUACUUCUGUCUUUUCAUAAACUGAUCAAACCUCAAGUUCCACUGUCGUGGUGAUUGCUUCAACCCAUACAACGAUCUUUGUAGCAAACAAACCUGAUUAUCCUUCUCAAAACCUUGUGGUUGUUCCAUCAGAAUUUUCUCAUCUAGAUUUCCAUGUAGAAAAGCGGUUUUUACAUCCAACUGUUCUAACUCUAAAUCUUGAUCGACUACCAUCGAUAACACCAGUCUUAUAGUAGUAUGCUUCACUACCGGUGAGAAAACCUCGUGAUAAUCAAUCCCCUCAAUCUGAGAAAACCCUUUAGCAACUAACCUAGCUUUGUAUCUAGGUUCCUCCAUUCCUAUUAUUCCUGGUUUGAGCUUAAAAAUCCAUUUGCACCCAAUGGUUCUUUCUUUCUCAGGUCUUCGGAUCAGUUUCCAUGUAUGAUUCUUUAGAAGAGAAUUCAUCUCCUCAUUUGUAGCAGCAAUCCACUUCAUUCGGUCUUGACAGCUUAUUGCUUCUUCAUAAGUCUGAGGUUCUUCUGUAUUCAUGAAUUCAAUAACAUUCAAAGCAUAUGCAGCUAUAUCCUGAUCGUCAAACCUACUGGGAGGUUUAAUGUUCAAUCUUCUUUCUCUAUCUCUUGCAAGCUGAUAGUCUUGAAGUCCUUUUUCAUCAGACUCUUCUUCUGAAUCUUCCACUACCUGAUCAUCCCCUGAAGAAACUCCAUCUUCGUCUGAACUGUCCGCUUUAGAUUCAGAAGUUUCACCUUCAUCACUCUCAUUUGGCAGAAUGAAAGAGACUUUCUUCACUUGCCUCUUUUCUUUCUCUUUGGGCUCUCUUGACACCUUCACUAUAUCUUUAUAUAGUAUGUCUUCACAGAAAGUAACAUCUCUGCUUAUGAUGCACUUCCUUUCAUCAACACUCCAAAUCCUAUAUCCUUUUACACCUUGUGGAUAUCCCAUAAAAAUUCCCUUUUUAGCUCUUGACUUUAGUUUCCCCUGAUCAGCAUAGUAAUAAACCAGACAUCCAAAUCUUCUCAUAUGUAAAUAUUCUGGCUCUCUACCUGACCAUACCUCUUCUGGAACUCGAAAAUUCAAUGGUGCUGAAGGAGUUCUGUUGAUCAUGUAAACCACUGUAGAAGAAGCUUCUGCCCAGUAAGAUUCUCCUAACCCAGUUUCACUCAGCAAACUCUUAACCUUCUCUAGAAUGGUUCUAUUCAACCUCUCAGCUACUCCAUUUUGUUGUGGAGUAUAUGGACACGUCUUGUGUCUCAUGAUCCCUUUAGAUUUGCAAAAGUCAUCAAAGAUCUUGUUGCAAUAUUCCAAGCCAUUAUCUGUUCUUAAUGCUUUUAACUUCUUUUCGCUUUGAUUCUCGACUAAUGCCAACCAUUCAACAAAUUUAGAGAAAGCUUCAUCUUUUGUUUUGAGAAAAUAAAUCCAAACCUUUCUAGAAAAGUCAUCCACAAAAGAUAUGUAGUACUGACACUUAGACAAGCUUGGUGUCACAUUUGGAGAACCCCACAAAUCUGAAUGGACAUACUCCAGAACAGCCUUUGAAGUAUGUUUUCCUGUUUUAAAAGACAGCUUAUGAGAUUUACCUAGUAUGCAGAACUCACACUGCUUCAUCUCUGAAAUCUCAUCAUCUUUUAACAGCUCGUUUUUAACCAGUAGUUGCAAUCCUUUAUUACUUAUAUGGCCAAGUCUGCUAUGCCAUAAAGUAGUCUUUUCUACUGCUCCAAUAGCUGCAUUCAUGUGUCCUAGUCCUGGUUUUCCAUCAAGGAAAUACAAGGUGUCUUUGUAAUCACCAGCUAGAACUUCCUUGUCAUCUUUAAAGACUUGUAAUCUGUAGUUUCUAGACUGAAACCAACAGCCGUGAGUUUCAAGUUGUCCCAAGGAAAUCAAAUUCCUUCUUGCUGCAGGAGAGUAUCUAACUUUAGUUAAUACAACUUCACUCUUGUUGUAGUUAACUAUCUUAAUCUUUCCGAUGGCUGUAAUUUCACAAUAGGUAUCAUUACCCAUUAGAAUUUUACCACCAUCAAUCUCUUCUACAUCAAACAUUAGAUCCUUUCUACAUGUCAUAUGAUAUGAACAUCCAGAAUCUAACACCCAUCCAUCUCUUGAAUGAUGUGUUCAGAAGCAGUUAACAUCACAGGCUCUGUCCAUUGUGACUUACCAAUAUCAGCCUCAGCUUUAUUGCUUCUGUACUUACUAGAGCUUGACUGAUUUCUCUUAGGACAAUCUCGCUUUAGAUGGUCUUCACUUCCACAGAUCCAGCAAGCCCUUUUACUCUUUUGUCUGGACUUACUUCUGUUUUUAAACUUUUCUUUUGAGUAAAUUCUUUUAUCAGUCCUGCCUCUUGUUUGAACCACUAACCCUUCAUCAAGAGUCUUCUGUCUAUUGGAGAUACUCUUUUCUUUUAAUUCUAGCUCUAUAGAAUAAGCAGACCGAAUUAUCUCCUUUAAUGUAAUUGUAUCUUUUCCACUGCUAUACUUCAGAGUAUGUACCAGAUGGUCAAACCUUUUAGGCAAACUGUUAAGAAGAAUUGCAGCUUGAUCCUCUUCACUCAUCUCUACAUUUAGACUUGAAAGAUCAGAUAUCAGCUUAUUGAAUGUAUCCAAGUUCUUGUCCAGAUUCUUGUCUUCGUCCAUUUUAAAGCUGUAAAAUCUUUGCUUGAGAUAGAACCUGUGUGGCAGAGUUUUCACUUGAUAUGUGUUUUCCAGUGCUGCCCACAUAUCAUGUGCUGUAGGUUCUUUGAUAACCUUUCUCAACACUAUAUCUGCCAAACUCAUACUCAAAAGAUUUCUAACCCUCCGAUCCUUCUCCAGCCACUUUGGAUCACGUUUCUUUACUUCAUGUUCAACUCCUUCUUCCUGAAUUUCUUUUCCUUUAGGAUCUGUAACAGCUUCUGGCUGAAGCACAGAGUCAAGCCCUAAGAUCUCCAACUGUGCCAAGACCUUAUGCUUCCACAAAGUAAAGUCACCUUCUCCAUCAAAUUUCUCCACCUCAAACCUGCCUUGAGUUGGCUCCAUCACAAAACUCCUUACGAUCUUUUAGAAUCAGUAGAACUGAAUAGCUUUAGCCAAGCUCUGAUACCACUGUUGGUUUUAUGAUCUAGUAUUCAAUUCUGAUGAGAUUCAGAUUGUAAGUGUUCUGUUUCUUUGUGCUGAGUUAGAUUUGUGUUUGAUGAUGUGUAGAAACUUAAGAACACCAGGAUAUACGAGUUCCCAAGAUCAACGUGAUCUCAGUACGUCUCGGUGAGCUUACACCAGCUCACAAGGGUAAUAUCCUUGAUGCAGAGAACAAGAAAGAUCACUUACCAAGCUCACGUCACUCACCGUUACAGAGAUUUAACCCAAAGAAGAAAACCAAAGAUGAACAAGCUUUUAUGAAAAAACAAGUCACACUCUCACGUAGCUUUUCUCUCACCCUCUCUCUAUCUUCUUUUCUCUGUGUAUUUGUGAAUUGUGUAGACCUCUUACUUGAUCCCUCUCUCACUGAUGAUUAUAUAUUCUGCAUCAAUACCCUUCUUCUUCCAGCUCCUGCUUUUUUACUUGUCAUUGAUUGACACCUACCAAUGACUCAGUUUCUCUGUUUCUUGGAAGCUAAAAACAGGACACAUUGUCGUUACUUCUUUGCAGGGUUUCCUCUGUCACAGACUUCUUGGGCUUGCUGUAACCACUAAGCCCACUGCAGAAGAAUAGCCCACCUAUCUGAGCCCAAUCACAACAACGACAGUAAAGAAUCUAAAUGAUGACUCUUCAAGAGAUUACUAACGUCGUUCAGUAGUUAUCAACUUAAUAUUUUGGUCAAAUUGUUUGUAUUCAGUUUGAUUGAAUUCUUCUAAUGGUCUUCCUUACCUUUUGUGACAUCAAAUGAAUGUAGAACUAGGUUCAUCUACUCAGGAUUUCCUAGACAUUAAAUUAACUUGGUCGUUUUUCUAGCUAAACGUUGUAAUCAGAUGUUGCAUCUAGAGACAUUGCAUGUAAAGAUUAUUUGGUCUUACCGUUAACCGUUGUAUUCAGAUGUUGCAUUUAGAGAUAUUGCAUUUAACAUUAUUUUAUUUUACUAUUAACUUUUAGUUCUUACAUAACUAGAUGUUAAUUUAUGUUAAUUUAUGUUAAUUUAAAU